CGUAGGUGGCAAGCGUUGUCCGGAUUUAUUGGGCGUAAAGCGAGCGCAGGCGGUUCCUUAAGUCUGAUGUGAAAGCCCCCGGCUCAACCGGGGAGGGUCAUUGGAAACUGGGGAACUUGAGUGCAGAAGAGGAGAGUGGAAUUCCAUGUGUAGCGGUGAAAUGCGUAGAUAUAUGGAGGAGCACCAGUGGCGAAGGCGACUCUCUGGUCUGUAACUGACGCUGAGGCUCGAAAGCGUGGGUAGCAAACAGGAUU
rnacentral:rRNA from 1 species